UGGGGAAUUUUGGACAAUGGGGGCAACCCUGAUCCAGCCAUCCCGCGUGUGCGAUGAAGGCCUUCGGGUUGUAAAGCACUUUUGGCAGGGAAGAAACAGCCUGGGAUAAUACCCCGGGCGACUGACGGUACCUGCAGAAUAAGCACCGGCUAACUACGUGCCAGCAGCCGCGGUAAUACGUAGGGUGCAAGCGUUAAUCGGAAUUACUGGGCGUAAAGCGUGCGCAGGCGGUUCGGAAAGAAAGGUGUGAAAUCCCAGGGCUUAACCUUGGAACUGCACUUUUAACUGCCGAGCUAGAGUACGUCAGAGGGGGGUAGAAUUCCACGUGUAGCAGUGAAAUGCGUAGAGAUGUGGAGGAAUACCGAUGGCGAAGGCAGCCCCCUGGGAUGAUACUGACGCUCAUGCACGAAAGCGUGGGGAGCAAACAGGAUUAGAUACCCUGGUAGCCA
rnacentral:rRNA from 1 species